AUUGAACGCUGGCGGAAUGCUUUACACAUGCAAGUCGAACGGCAGCACGGACUUCGGUCUGGUGGCGAGUGGCGAACGGGUGAGUAAUGUAUCGGAACGUGCCCAGUCGUGGGGGAUAACGUAGUGAAAAUUACGCUAAUACCGCAUACGAUCUAUGGAUGAAAGCGGGGGAUCGCAAGACCUCGCGCGAUUGGAGCGGCCGAUAUCAGAUUAGGUAGUUGGUGGGGUAAAGGCCCACCAAGCCAACGAUCUGUAGCUGGUCUGAGAGGACGACCAGCCAACCUGGAACUGAGACACGGUCAAGACUCCUACGGGAGGCAGCAGUGGGGAAUUUUGGACAAUGGGCGAAAGCCUGAUCCAGCCAUUCCGCGUGCAGGAUGAAGGCCCUCGGGUUGUAAACUGCUUUUGUACAGAACGAAAAGGUUUCUACUAAUACUAGGAGCUCAUGACGGUACUGUAAGAAUAAGCACCGGCUAACUACGUGCCAGCCGCCGCAGUAA
rnacentral:rRNA from 1 species